rnacentral:rRNA from 1 species
CCUACGGGAGGCAGCAGUGGGGGAUAUUGCACAAUGGGGGAAACCCUGAUGCAGCGACGCCGCGUGUGGGAAGACGGUCCUCUGGAUUGUAAACCACUGUCCCCAGGGACGAAGAUGACGGUACCUGGGGAGGAAGCGCCGGCUAACUACGUGCCAGCAGCCGCGGUAAUACGUAGGGAGCGAGCGUUGUCCGGAAUUACUGGGGGUAAAGGGAGCGUAGACGGCGAGGCAAGUCGGAAGUGAAAGGCGGGGGCCCAACCCCCGGACUGCUUUGGAAACUGUAUGGCUGGAGUGCAGGAGAGGUCAGUGGACUUCCUAUUGUAGCGGUUACAUGCGUAGAUAUUAGGAGGAACACCAGUGGCGACGGCGGCUUACUGGACUGUACCUGACGUUGCGGCUCGCAAGCGUGGGGAGCAAACAGGAUUAGAUACCCGAGUAGUC